UGCAGCCAUGCCGCGUGUAUGAAGAAGGCCUUCGGGUUGUAAAGUACUUUCAGUCGUGAGGAAGGUUCAUGCGUUAAUAGCGUAUGGAUUUGACGUUAGCGACAGAAGAAGCACCGGCUAACUCCGUGCCAGCAGCCGCGGUAAUACGGAGGGUGCGAGCGUUAAUCGGAAUUACUGGGCGUAAAGCGCAUGCAGGUGGUUAGUUAAGUCAGAUGUGAAAGCCCGGGGCUCAACCUCGGAAUUGCAUUUGAAACUGGCUGACUAGAGUACUGUAGAGGGGGGUAGAAUUUCAGGUGUAGCGGUGAAAUGCGUAGAGAUCUGAAGGAAUACCGGUGGCGAAGGCGGCCCCCUGGACAGAUACUGACACUCAGAUGCGAAAGCGUGGGGAGCAAACAGGAUUAGAUACCCUGGUAGUCCACGCCGUAAACGAUGUCUACUUGGAGGUUGUGGCCUUGAGCCGUGGCUUUCGGAGCUAACGCGUUAAGU
rnacentral:rRNA from 1 species